UACGUAGGGGGCAAGCGUUGUCCGGAAUCAUUGGGCGUAAAGGGCUCGUAGGCGGCCAACUAAGUCAGACGUGAAAUCCCUCGGCUUAACCGGGGAACUGCGUCUGAUACUGGAUGGCUUGAGGUUGGGAGAGGGAUGCGGAAUUCCAGGUGUAGCGGUGAAAUGCGUAGAUAUCUGGAGGAACACCGGUGGCGAAGGCGGCAUCCUGGGACCAAUUCUGACGCUGAGGAGCGAAAGCCAGGGGAGCAAACGGG
rnacentral:rRNA from 1 species